UGUCUGCUAACACAUCUAGUAAGUACCUAGAUAUAUCUGAAGAUAGUUGACUGUUCAGAGUACUCAUAAAGUUCUGAUAUUAUAUCUGAAAACUUUUAUAAAUUUGUCCUCAGGCUAUGACCAAGAAACGGCCUCGCUGUUACUUCUCUUACAUCUCCUUCCACCGCAACCAGGAGGACAGAAGUCUCCAAAAAUCAGUGCAAGUGAUGCAGUUGAGAGACUUGUUGUCUUUCAUAAGUCAUGCUGCAGUUUAGAGGAGCAUCUCCGGGGUCAACAGGGUCUGCAGCCAUACCUCCUUGCUGUUGGGCGUCAGAGAAGCAAGAUUGACAGCUUCUACAUCGUCAUGGAUAAGUGUCUCAUCCCAUGCCAGACAAACGGUUCUCUUGGAGCAUUUGAUGAGCUAUUCAAAGCACAUUUUGUGAACAUUGUCUUUUCUCCUAUUCUCACUAUGGGUAUGACGAUAUAUUUGAAGCAUUUGAUUGUUGAACACCAUAGACUCUUUAAGUUCUUAUAUUCACAUCAAAAUUUGAUACCUAAGCAUCAUUUUAUGAUCCACUAUCCAUCUUCCAUUAGGAAAAUAGGUCCAUUGUUACAUAUGUGGUCUAUGAGGUUUGAGGCUAAACACAAAAUGUUUAUAGAAUAUUUUAAAAACUUUAAAAAUAUAACCAAAUCACUUGCGAAAAAGCAUCAGAUGGCCACAGCUUAUCAUUGGGAAACAAUAAGUAUUAAAGAAAAUGAGCAUGGGCCUCUCAAACCAUUUUCACUUAAAGAUGAAGAUGUGGUCAACAAAGAAAUGCUUCAAAUGAUUUCAUCAGGAGAUGUUUUCUCAACCAGCUGGGUUAGAGUUGAGGGUGUUGAAUACAGACCAGGACUUGCUGUUUGCAGCACAAUUCAAGAUGAGAUGCCAGUGUUUUGUCAGAUAAGUGAUGUACUUUUAGUUGACAAUACCUUUCUUUUGUUAUCUAAACAGCUAUUCACAUAAACAUUUGAUGAUCAUCAUCAUGCUUUCAGGAUUGUUCAAAGUGAAGAAAGGCAUUUAGUAAAGAAAACUUAAAUUUCAUAAGCCUUUUGAUAUUCAAAACUCUUAUGGCGUUUCUAAUGAAUGCUUGUUCAUCGUACCACAAUUUAAAAUGUUGGAAACACAGCUGCAAAAAUAAAGUGUUCAAAAUUGA